CACUCCUUAGUAAAAGGCACAUGACAGCCCACCUGGAGUUUGCCAAAAGGCACCUGAAGGACUCUCAGGCCAUGAGAAAGAAAAUUCUCUGGUCUGAGGAGAAAAAGAUUGAAGUUUUGGUGUGAAUGUCAGGUGUUAUGUUCUGAGGAA